UCUGACCUCAAAUCAGGUAGGAUUACCCGCUGAACUUAAGCAUAUCAAUAAGCGGAGAAAAAGAAACUAACAAGGAUUCCCUUAGUAACUG
rnacentral:rRNA from 1 species